AUGGCAGUUGUGGCCCAGCAAGAAGCUUGCCUCUCCAGAUCAAUCACUCCAGAAGAGGAGAGGAAAAGGGAGCCGUCUGACUGCCUUGUUCUUUCUGCAGAAUACAGCUCAGUUGUGGGUCCCCCAAAAGCCCCUGAAGAAUUAAAUAAAAAAAAGAGGUGGUGUCAACUGCGGUGCCUUGGAAUUCUCUUUUUUUUUCACGCAGGGUCAGCCGUCCUGCUGGCCUCCUCUCGCCACCCUGCCCUCUGGUCAGAAGCCCGGCUCCUCGCCGGGGAAGGGCCUGUGCUGGCACGCCUGGAGCUGGGACUUGUGCCCCAUGGGGUGUCAGGAGUCUCUGGUGCCCCGCGUUCAACCCCACAGGGCCGGGCUGUUUGCUCCCCAUCGGUCGCUGUUCUCGCUUCCUGGAUUAUUAAGGACUCAUUUGCUUGGAGCGGCAUCAUUACAAGUGUUUGGGGUACUAAAUAUACUCCCUAUUUUUCUGUUUUCGAAAGGCUGCAGGCGCGAUGCACAGUGCGCUUGCACGGUGGGGCCUCGUGCUUGCCAUAGGAGCAGGCGGAGGCCGGGCAGGGGCGGUGGGCGCCGGCCACGUCUCGGUGGGACUCAGCCAGGCGGUCCCCGCGUGGCGGCCUCGGCGGGCCCUGCAGCCCUUCAUUCCCGGAGGAGGGCUGGGGGCCGGGCGCGGGGCGCUUCCCCUCCUCAGAGCCUUCAAACCGCAAGGGGGAUUCGGCUUCCCAGUCGAUGGUCGUCCUCUCCUAUACCCGGCUGCAUCUCCAUUUACCGUCGCCCAUUUCCUCUGGCCGCCCAGGCUCCUUGGCUCCACUGGGGUCUCCGUUCCCUGCUCCCGGUCCCCCAGGCAGGUCGCGGCUGCUUUGUCCAGGAUUCCACAGGGGCUUGACCCAAGGGCGUUGGUUUAGGCCGGAUCCGGGUCCCUCGUCACUCCCCGGCUUCUUCCACUUCCGGAUCCUGGAGAACCGGGAAUCCAGCCCUGCGUGUGCCUCUCCUUCCUCCUCCGUGCUGAAAGCACACUCCAGGCACGCUUCCUGUCUGCGGGGCAUCAGUUCUGAAAGUGAGCUGAGAACAAGGAGUUUCUUUUUCUUCCCCGGAAGUUGCCUUUUGUAAGGACUGUGUCUGCGCCGAGGCUUGAUGCCUGUUGCUGCUCCUGGGAGUGCGGGCCUGGGAAGUUGAUGAAAAUGUCAACAUUAGCUUUAGUGGUGAGGCCAAAGGGAAGACGGACCCAGCAUCAAGCCUGGGUAGAGGAGAACGGGAGAGGGAGGACCCGAAAGGCGUGUUACCAGAACCAGGGCACGCUGUUCACUGCUUUGGGAUGUCUGAAUCCUGCCUUUGCUGUUUGAGAGCUCUAGGACUGUGGGCCUCGGAAAGCCUUCCAGGAAUGGACUUUCUGCAGUAUGAUGACCUGCAAAAGCAGCCCUUCCAUUUACAUUUCAAACUCCAAGUCAGCCGUGUCAAAGUUUGAACCAGGACUGUGGAGGAUAAUGGGUCAGAUGCAAUUAGCAGCCCAGAGAGCUGCAUGUUGCAGUCUGAUUUAUUUUUUUGCCCAUCAGAUUCCAAGAAUCCUAGUGCUUAAAAGCAACUAAACAAUCGCUCUAUUGUACUGAAAUAAAGCCCAGUUAAUUCAGAAAUCAAUUGCACCACCAGGUGGGGCACACUCUGGCCCCAAACAGAUGGGGUUGAAAACUCCCCCCAAAAUGCAGUCUUGUUAAAUUAAAAACUUGAUCCAGGAGUGGAACAAAUAGGGAGCCAUGAAUAGAAUGGAGUCAGGUCCACUCAGGCGGAUUCUUUCUUCUCCCACUCCUUUUCCUUUAAAAAAGAAAAACUCCCCAUUUCACUUUCAUCAGUGUUAGCAUCUAUGCAGAAAUGCAGCCACCUACCCUUUCAGUUCAAUGUGUUACUUUAAUUAGUCUGAAAAUUAAAGGGCAACUCUGGGCCAAUGUGAAUGAUUAUGAAAAUACAUGUGCAUCCCAUGCAAUCUUCUCAUUUAAUUAAUAGUCUUGUAAACUAUAUGGCUCACUUUAAGUCAGUCAAGAGGUAUAACAACUCCAUUUUAAAUAUCGACUUAAUACUUAACAGGAUGUGAGGAACACACUAUAGCAUACGGUCCCUUCUCAAGUUUCACUGUCUGAAAUUUUUCAAAGCUGACCCAAGUCAACCCGAAAAAUGUUUAACACCCUGGGCUUGAACACAAGAAACUCUGUGAUGAACAGACAUUCAAUUACAUUUUUUAAAAGUGAGAAGCAUUUUUGUAAAAUAGUGACUCUGGAAACUAAUUGGCAGCCGCAAAACUUGUGAGCGAAGGCCAAAUCUUGUGGGGAACUUUUACUACAGUAACACGACUCAAAGAAAAUGUGAAUAAAAGGCAUCUUUGUUUCCCAGUCAAAUUAGCUGAUUAAGAAAUAAAACAUCUUAACAUGUUUUUAAA